rnacentral:rRNA from 1 species
CCUACGGGUGGCAGCAGUCGAGAAUCAUUCACAAUGGGGGAAACCCUGAUGGUGCGACGCCGCGUGGGGGAAUGAAGGUCUUCGGAUUGUAAACCCCUGUCAUGUGGGAGCAAAUUCAAAAGACAGUACCACAAGAGGAAGAGACGGCUAACUCUGUGCCAGCAGCCGCGGUAAUACAGAGGUGUCAAGCGUUGUUCGGAAUCACUGGGCGUAAAGGGUGCGUAGGCUGUUUCGUAAGUCGUGUGUGAAAGGCGCGGGCUCAACCCGCGGACGGCACAUGAUACUGCGAGACUAGAGUAAUGGAGGGGGAACCGGAAUUCUCGGUGUAGCAGUGAAAUGCGUAGAUAUCGAGAGGAACACUCGUGGCGAAGGCGGGUUCCUGGACAGUAACUGACGCUGAGGUACGAAGGCCAGGGGAGCGAAAGGGAUUAGAUACCCUAGUAGUC